rnacentral:rRNA from 1 species
UACGGAGGGUGCAAGCGUUAAUCGGAAUUACUGGGCGUAAAGCGUGCGUAGGCGGUUUUUUAAGUCAGAUGUGAAAGCCCUGGGCUUAACCUGGGAACUGCAUUUGAUACUGGAAGACUAGAGUUUAGUAGAGGGGAGUGGAAUUUCAGGUGUAGCGGUGAAAUGCGUAGAGAUCUGAAGGAACACCAGUGGCGAAGGCGGCUCCCUGGACUAAAACUGACGCUGAGGUACGAAAGCGUGGGUAGCAAAC